rnacentral:rRNA from 1 species
AUAAUGGGUCAGCGACUUAUAUUCUGUAGCAAGGUUAACCGAAUAGGGGAGCCGAAGGGAAACCGAGUCUUAACUGGGCGUUAAGUUGCAGGGUAUAGACCCGAAACCCGGUGAUCUAGCCAUGGGCAGGUUGAAGGUUGGGUAACACUAACUGGAGGACCGAACCGACUAAUGUUGAAAAAUUAGCGGAUGACUUGUGGCUGGGGGUGAAAGGCCAAUCAAACCGGGAGAUAGCUGGUUCUCCCCGAAAGCUAUUUAGGUAGCGCCUCGUGAAUUCAUCUCCGGGGGUAGAGCACUGUUUCGGCAAGGGGGUCAUCCCGACUUACCAACCCGAUGCAAACUGCGAAUACCGGAGAAUGUUAUCACGGGAGACACACGGCGGGUGCUAACGUCCGUCGUGAAGAGGGAAACAACCCAGACCGCCAGCUAAGGUCCCAAAGUCAUGGUUAAGUGGGAAACGAUGUGGGAAGGCCCAGACAGCCAGGAUGUUGGCUUAGAAGCAGCCAUCAUUUAAAGAAAGCGUAAUAGCUCACUGGUCGAGUCGGCCUGCGCGGAAGAUGUAACGGGGCUAAACCAUGCACCGAAGCUGCGGCAGCGACGCUUAUGCGUUGUUGGGUAGGGGAGCGUUCUGUAAGCCUGCGAAGGUGUGCUGUGAGGCAUGCUGGAGGUAUCAGAAGUGCGAAUGCUGACAUAAGUAACGAUAAAGCGGGUGAAAAGCCCGCUCGCCGGAAGACCAAGGGUUCCUGUCCAACGUUAAUCGGGGCAGGGUGAGUCGACCCCUAAGGCGAGGCCGAAAGGCGUAGUCGAUGGGAAACAGGUUAAUAUUCCUGUACUUGGUGUUACUGCGAAGGGGGGACGGAGAAGGCUAUGUUGGCCGGGCGACGGUUGUCCCGGUUUAAGCGUGUAGGCUGGUUUUCCAGGCAAAUCCGGAAAAUCAAGGCUGAGGCGUGAUGACGAGGCACUACGGUGCUGAAGCAACAAAUGCCCUGCUUCCAGGAAAAGCCUCUAAGCAUCAGGUAACAUCAAAUCGUACCCCAAACCGACACAGGUGGUCAGGUAGAGAAUACCAAGGCGCUUGAGAGAACUCGGGUGAAGGAACUAGGCAAAAUGGUGCCGUAACUUCGGGAGAAGGCACGCUGAUAUGUAGGUGAAGCGACUUGCUCGUGGAGCUGAAAUCAGUCGAAGAUACCAGCUGGCUGCAACUGUUUAUUAAAAACACAGCACUGUGCAAACACGAAAGUGGACGUAUACGGUGUGACGCCUGCCCGGUGCCGGAAGGUUAAUUGAUGGGGUCAGCGCAAGCGAAGCUCUUGAUCGAAGCCCCGGUAAACGGCGGCCGUAACUAUAACGGUCCUAAGGUAGCGAAAUUCCUUGUCGGGUAAGUUCCGACCUGCACGAAUGGCGUAAUGAUGGCCAGGCUGUCUCCACCCGAGACUCAGUGAAAUUGAACUCGCUGUGAAGAUGCAGUGUACCCGCGGCAAGACGGAAAGACCCCGUGAACCUUUACUAUAGCUUGACACUGAACAUUGAGCCUUGAUGUGUAGGAUAGGUGGGAGGCUUUGAAGUGUGGACGCCAGUCUGCAUGGAGCCGACCUUGAAAUACCACCCUUUAAUGUUUGAUGUUCUAACGUUGACCCGUGAUCCGGGUUGCGGACAGUGUCUGGUGGGUAGUUUGACUGGGGCGGUCUCCUCCUAAAGAGUAACGGAGGAGCACGAAGGUUGGCUAAUCCUGGUCGGACAUCAGGAGGUUAGUGCAAUGGCAUAAGCCAGCUUGACUGCGAGCGUGACGGCGCGAGCAGGUGCGAAAGCAGGUCAUAGUGAUCCGGUGGUUCUGAAUGGAAGGGCCAUCGCUCAACGGAUAAAAGGUACUCCGGGGAUAACAGGCUGAUACCGC